rnacentral:rRNA from 1 species
ACGUAGGGUGCAAGCGUUAAUCGGAAUUACUGGGCGUAAAGCGUGCGCAGGCGGUUAUAUAAGUCAGAUGUGAAAUCCCCGGGCUCAACCUGGGAACUGCAUUUGAGACUGUAUGGCUAGAGUGUGUCAGAGGGGGGUAGAAUUCCACGUGUAGCAGUGAAAUGCGUAGAUAUGUGGAGGAAUACCGAUGGCGAAGGCAGCCCCCUGGGAUAACACUGACGCUCAUGCACGAAAGCGUGGGGAGCAAACAG